CACUGCUCUGUGUAUUUCUAGUAUGCCUUUCUCUUCUAUUGUGCACUAUUAGAAUGGGAAUGGCUUGGACAUAGUAAAUAGUCUGGUCGACACUGGCAGCUGCAAGCAAUGAGCUGACAAGUGAUUCAGUCACAAGGAGAUAUCUAACAUUCCAAAGAUGUGUGUUUCCCAGGCAUUUUUGGACAGGCACAAGGUACAACUCCGCAGCCCCUGAGUUCAGAAUGCUCAAGUGAAGUGGUCUGUUUAAUUGCUCUUUUGUUGGUAUCAUGGUAUUUGUAAGGGCUGCUGAACGGAGCUGGGGAGCUGCAUGUGCCAAUUAUGGUCUAUGACAAGCUUUUCUUCAUUAAAAUGACCUCAAAACUAGGCAAUGAAACAGAUUCACGAGUAAGAGGCUCCUCAGGCCUAUAGGAGAGCACACAGGUGCGUCAUCUGCUCUGGUAACCCCGACUGCCCACACAACCUAAGGCUGCUUCAGCUGGUGGGAGCACAGCGUCCUCCCCAUCCCAGCACCAGUCAGAGGCACGUGCUGUGAGCUUUGGGGUGCACUGAUCUGAUGGAGGAAGUGAAUGACCCCACGUCUCAUCUCCUGCAAGUGGUGCAAGCGAGGAGUAAGUUCUUGAAGCAGCCAUUGCGCAAAAGGAUUUAAUCUGCAGUGUCUAAAGCCAAUCCUAGGUGGUUUUAGCCCACCAAGGAGAUAAAUCGAGAAAUAAUUCAUCAGUGUCUUCUCUGACAAUGGUCAAGAACUUCUUGAUGCCUGAAGACCUGCUAAGGAACUGUCCCAGGGGCAGAAUAUGAUGGAUGUGAGGGGUUGCCUGUGCUGCUCUGACUGUGUUUUAACAACUGAUGCCAGAGAGAUUGGUGGGAACAAGAAGAUAAUCUCAGCACUAACAGGGCUCAGUGCUGAAAAACAUGAGCAGGAGAGGAGAGUUCUGCGGAGGGGAACAACAAAGCAGGAGAAUGGUUGAAGCCACAGCCUUGUGAAAUAAUUCCUGAAGCUUGGCACACUAGUGGUGUAUCAUGCCCAUCUGCAAAAGAAUGUCUCUCUGUAAGUCUUAAGAAGGUGGAGAGGUGGAAAACCAAAGUUCUUUCAGUGCAAAUAAACCUUCCUUUUCCUUAAUUCCUUUGAGGGUAUUAUUUAAAUGCUGAAGCAUUUGUACAUGGGCGAGAUUGACUGAGGUGUUAAGAUUCCAGUGGACUUAGAAUCAUAGAAUGGUUUGGGCUGGAAAGGAGCAUUAAGACCAUUUAAUUCCAACCCUCCUGCUAUAGGCAGGGGCAGCUUCUGUUCAAAGCCUCAACCACACUGGCCUGGAAUACUUCCAGGGAGUGGGCAUUCACAGCCUCACUGGACUUCACAAAGCCUCUUCCAGUUCUCGACGUGGGAGUGGAAAACUGUGGCAGUUUAUCAGUAACAGAUGAGAAAAUUGAGAAAAGUUUGGGAAUGUAACAGUCAUCUGAUUGGUACAAUUAAAUUAUGAAAUAAGCCCACCCCAAAGAAAUCAUGUCUGAAGUGUUCCGCAGUCUAGAUUUACCUCAUCUCCAUAAGAAAAUUACUCCAGAGCUAUUGACAAAAAAAGGCAUAUUUUCUUCACAGCUCUCCUCAAAACUUUGCUCUGAGCUUUAUGACCUCUCAUAGGAGUACUGUUACCAUGGGUGUCCACGGAUGAAAAUUCUAUCUUUGAUGUAGCUGGGUCUUAAGACACUAAUUGCUCUGAAAAAUGGGAGCAGGGCCCUAUGCUGGCAUCAGAUGCUGACAGAGAGCUCUGGGAAAGACUUGAGUGCAAAUCAGAUAUGCCCUUGGCUACUUGAGCCAUAGAAAAAGCAGUUGUUCCCCAUUCCCAACCAGCUGGAGUUGGUGUACCAUUCCCAAGUUGAGUUUCAAGACACAUUGAGUUAUUAUAAUACUUCCCAGAAGUGACAUGUUCAGGGACUAAUGAUGCACCCCAAGCAGCUGGAGUUUGCCAAGUGUCAGACACAAGGCACAGCUUUGGCAAAUGUGGACAGAGUGCUUGUCCACAAAGGAAAGAUGAUGUUUCCAUGAGUUGUUUCCAAGAUCCUUAUUCUGGACCUGCAUUUUGGCUGUGUUUGGAUUCGUUCACUUCAGCCUCACUUGGAUUCAGUUCAAGCCAUCUGCUCCUCUCCAAGAGCUAAUUUCCUGGAGGUGUUCUGGCAUGCUGUUAGUGUCAAUGGUUGUGUCUGUGGAGGACAAGAACUCUGACUGUCACUGCAGACUGUUGGCAGCCAAGCCUGCAGCACCUCUACGUCUCUCCUAAUCAUCCUGCAUAAUUAAUGGAGAGAAGAAGGGAUUAUCUGAAUGCCUGUGGGCUGUUCAAGGAAGGGAGAGCAGAACCUGUCUCCACUUCUCUACUAUCUGCUGAUCACCAGCAAUAGAAACUAUGUUAAGGAUGAAGAGUCUACUUCUGGUAUGAAUUGUUAUUACUAGCUUCUUUGAUUUUUUUGCAUCAAAAGCUGCAGAUUGAGCCAGUAUGGCAAAGGUGGUGGUAGCCAUGAGAACAACUACAGCACAGCUGUCUGUGCUGUGCCGUUGGUGAUGGCCUCUCUGAGGCUAUCUGAUGUUGGCCUAUGUGAUUCCACUGGCAGGUAGGAGGGAGAGGUAACAGAGGAAUACAUGCAGGGAUGUUCAAGGUCAAGGAGGAAUUUUUGAAAAGCUUAAAGAAACUAUUGAUUGUUGGAAGAAGAUCUUUGAAGGCAUUCUUUUUCUUUUUUUCUUUUAAUAUAUUGAAUUCUGGUUGUUU